UACAGAGGUCUCAAGCGUUGUUCGGAUUCAUUGGGCGUAAAGGGUGCGUAGGUGGCGCGGUAAGUCGGUUGUGAAAUUUCGGAGCUUAACUCCGAAACUGCAUUCGAUACUGCCGUGCUUGAGGACUGGAGAGGAGACUGGAAUUUACGGUGUAGCAGUGAAAUGCGUAGAGAUCGUAAGGAAGACCAGUGGCGAAGGCGGGUCUCUGGACAGUUCCUGACACUGAGGCACGAAGGCCAGGGGAGCAAACGGG
rnacentral:rRNA from 1 species